rnacentral:rRNA from 1 species
UACGUAGGGCGCAAGCGUUUAUCCGGAAUUAUUGGGCGUAAAGAGCUCGUAGGCGGUUUGUCGCGUCUGCUGUGAAAGACCGGGGCUCAACUCCGGUUCUGCAGUGGGUACGGGCAGACUAGAGUGCAGUAGGGGAGACUGGAAUUCCUGGUGUAGCGGUGAAAUGCGCAGAUAUCAGGAGGAACACCGAUGGCGAAGGCAGGUCUCUGGGCCACUACUGACGCUGAGAAGCGAAAGCAUGGGGGAGCGAACAGG